CGGCUCGCUCGGCAACAAGUUUCAGAUGGAGAUUUUCAGUCAAAGCUGUUUGAUGGGAUUGGAAUUGUCUUUGUUUCUAAAUCUUGUACUCCUCCACGUAAUCAAGUGGCGGCUCUCUUGCGUCUUUGUGGUGCUAAGGUUACAGAAAAUGUUAGUCGAGCUGAGCUUCAUAUUGGUAAUGAAAGUACUGCAUGUAAAGUCAGCAUAAAACCUCUCUGGGUUUUGGACUGUAUAACACAGCAGCAGCUGCUAAAGUAUGAGGACUAUAUUGUGACAGGCGAUGACAGGCCUAAGAGGAGUAGCAGCCCAGAGUUUUGAUUCCCAUGGCUGACUUCAAUGCCUAAAUUUUAUGCAUGGCACACUUCACUGUAGGCUGGACAAAGUUAUGGAGCACAUUGUGUGUUUUGUGUGUGCCCAUAUUUGUUCAUGCACAUUUUGUUGAUUCAUUUCCAGGACAGGAACAUCUGAAGAUUUAACUUGUCAUCAGUAUAAAAACCACAGAUAAAACUGAUGAGAGUUGUGUGGUGCUGAUUGAUUUUUUAUGAUUUUUAUGAUUUUUAUAAAAUACUGAUGACAUGAAGUUAUCAAGCCAAUGCUCAUAAUUAUUAGAGACAACUCUUCUGGUUAGGUUUUGGCAAUACUGUUGUUUUUAUUUUUAUUAUUGAGACCUCAUGAGUUUUGAGGGUGGUAUUCUGUCCAUACAUAAUUGUAUUAUAGUAAUUAUAUUGUAUUAUAGUAAUUGUAUACUAUAAGAACCAAUACAGUGAAGGUUGGCUGUCCUGGGUUCAGCUCUUAUCUCGGGCAAGCUGUUUUUCUUCUACAUGUGGCAUCUGUUUACAGGGCCUUGCUGUGAUACAGCUUUAGCUGCUUGCUGGGUGUAAAACUCAAUUACUCCCCAUCACCUCCACUCCCCAGACUUAUUUGAAAGGAAAUAGGACAUCAUUUCUUAGACAUAAAUGUCAUUUUCACGGAUGUGUAUAGGUGGAUUGUUGUCUGUCUGCCGAAACCAAGCUCUUGCGAAAUUUCUCCACUGUUAGUCUCGUCGAGCCUAAACAAUGGAUAUGGCUGAAACCGUAAACUUUGUACACACCUGCCUCGUUUUAGUAGUUAAUUGGAAAAAAUCAUCUGCAACUGAACAGCAGUUAGUGUUUUAAUUUAUUAUUUUUCUCUUGUUAGAGUUUUCAGUUGUAGGCAGCAGAUAUUUUUGCAAGCAGCAUGAAAGGAUUUUAAAAUACCUGUGAUCAAAUCACUCUAUUUUUAAAAUUAAAACAAAACAAAAAAUAAACAAACUUUCCAAUCAUGCUAGACUUGUGAAAGAUAUUUUACUUAUAAAUAUAUAUAUAUUACCACUUUUUCCUCUCUGGCUGUGGCAAGGGAUUUGAUUUGGUCAAUCUCACUGAAGCCAACCUGUUACCUCCUACACAAAGUUAGUGUCGAGUGAGUUAGAGGUAAAUAGAAGUAUUAUUUCAGCUUUUUCAUUUAGUUCUGGCUCUGGUUUUGAAGAAGUUUUACCAGUUUAUGUGCCUGGCAUGUCCUUGUUCCAUCUGCUCUUCUAUUUAUAGUAUCAGCUUUUCUCAUUAGAUGAUUCAUCAUAUUUUCAAAGAAACUUUGUGUUCCAGUUUGUAGUCUUUCAACUAUCAGUGAAAGUAUACAGGUGUAAUUGAAACAAUGAAACCUUUUCACCUAGAAUGACCAGUAUUAUGUGUGCAGCAUUAAGUUCCAAGUCUUGACCUAUCUUUUAGGCUAGUUUUGCAUGUCUUUUUCUAUACAUUUCACAUACAGAGGGACAUUACCUUUGAUGGUCACCCAUGUCUUGACGUCAACUGUAUAACAACUGUUUAAACAUGCUUUUACAUCCAUCAGUCAAACCUAAUGUUUCCUUACUCCCUUCAAAAGAAAAGUGAGGUAGGAGUUGCUGUUGGCAUCCAUGAUGAAUUUGAAAAAUCAUCAUUGCACUUUGAGUUUUCAAACUUUCAUUGACUACCAAGCAAUAAAUGUUACACAUGCCUGCAAUUGUUAUUAGUCUAAUGUUCUUUUUCCUCAGUUGCACUGAAAUCAAAAGUUGAUGUCAUUUUUAUGCUGUAGCACAAGCUUAAAUAUUCUGACAUUAUACAAUGGUAUGAACCUUCACAUUCUAUGACAUAGUAACUUGUUAAAAAAAGUCUUCAAACACAAAAAAUAGCCAUUGUCUGAGGGAUGAGAAUCUUAUUAGCAUUUUUUACAAUUGAGCAAAAAUUUACAGGAUACAUUUUUAAUGAAACGUUUUUUUAAUACCAGCUCGUUCAAUGAUGGAAAUAUUUAAUAACUUUAUAAAUUCCUGCCCAGUCUUCACAAAUCUAGCUAUCAUUAUCUCUGCCCACAUGUAAAGUGAAAUUUAUAUCUAUUUACUCUUUUUUCUGCAUUCAAAUCUACAUUUCUAAUAAUCGGUUACUUUGAAGUAUGCUAAAGUGCUGUACCAGUGAGGUGGGGUUAGUGUAAUGAGGAAGAGUGUAACACUGGUCUAACCUGUUUUGUGUUGACAUUUUCUGACAACUAAUGAUUUUAUGGAAACAGGUUAUGUGUUUGUAUUGCGGCAUACUUGCUUGGCAGUCAAAAAAGCAAAUGACACUGC